rnacentral:rRNA from 1 species
UACAGGGGUCUCAAGCGUUGUUCGGAUUCAUUGGGCGUAAAGGGCGCGUAGGCGGCUUAUCAAGUCAGGGGUGAAAUCCGGCAGCUCAACUGUCGAAGUGCCUUUGAUACUGAUGAGCUCGAGGGAGGUAGGGGUCUGUGGAACUUCUGGUGGAGCGGUGAAAUGCGUUGAUAUCAGAAGGAACGCCGGUGGCGAAAGCGACGGACUGGAUCUCUUCUGACGCUGAGGCGCGAAAGCUAGGGGAGCAAACGGG